CAAGGGUACUGAGGGAAACAGGAACAGAAAGUGAAGACUUGUCAAGAUGUUUGGGUGAAGGGGACGAGCACAGAGCAGAAACACCCAAAAACAGAAACGGCAGAAGUUUGAGCAGCUGACUGGAUUACACAUGAGAGGAAACCUGACCACUUCACAAGUGCCUGCGCGAGGAAACCAGAAGACUCUGCCCAUAUAUGGUCUGUGGUUCAGACGUGUGUCUUCAAGUGAUGUAGUGGGUGAACAAGAUAAAGAAAAAGAUACACAACCAAAUUGAACCACCUCUUCGCGGCUGGAUUAAACUAAACCUGGAGUCGAGAGGCUGGAGGACAAGAGGCGACCUGCAAGCACACGGAUCAAGAAAGUGGCAUGAAGAAAUAAAACUUGUCCCUGAGGAUCAUAAUCAUCGUAACUGAGGGGGGGUUUCAUACAACUCAUCUUCUUGAUUUAUUUAAAAAUAUGCUAAGCCUUUCGUUAAAAGACCCUUUUAGCAGGGACACGUCUACGUCCAGUCUGACUGUUUAAUAAGAACAACACAGGUGUCCAGAUUUCGGCGGCUGAUCCUUUCAGCUCAAUACUCCCUUCUGGAAAAGGUAACCAGACCACAUCUCCACUGUCUUUCUGAAGGUUUAUUCCACAUACACAGUUAAACUGCCGUUAGGCAGCAGUCAGUUAGUAGUUAAACAGUUAUUAGUUUGAAGUUAGUCAGUUAGACAGCAUUUUGAUAGCUACUAACUACAGUUACUUAGUUAGGUUGUAAAACCGACAAGUCGUACAGGUUCUGAUGAUAGAUAGAUUUACAAAGGCGCAUACGAAGGCAAUAUAUAACAAAACAUGGCUUUGACAAUGCACCAUAAAGGCACUUUAAAGGCAACGGUGCUUUGAUACCAAUUACAACGAUGAACAGAUAAAUAGAAUGAAAGAUAAAUAGCUUUGCCUGCUAGAAAGUUCUGAAACAGGCUUGAGCACAGAUCUCGAGGAGAAGAAGACAAGCAAAUUAAAUUCACCACCCGACAGCUGUUGAACACUUCACAUCGUACCACUUUAAAAGUGUUGGUUAAUUAGUUAAUAUGACUCAAAUUAAAACCUGAGGCUCAACUACUUUGAAAUCUCAUUUUUAUGCUUGUUUACUGUCUUGUAAACUUCACAACUUUCUGAACGAUUCAUUAAAAGUUUAUAUCUGCCACACAGGCUCCGUCAAGUAGAAGUCACACUUGUGUAUCCUG